UUAUGCAUAUAUAGAAAUACAUAGGUUAUUUGACGUGAAGCUUGCGUGCCGCAAGAAAACUUUCUUCAUUUUUAAACGUCCGUGCGGCUUUGACAGUGACUUUCAUUAUGCAACUAGACCGCGAAGUAGUCAUCAUUGCAGCCUAAUUUGUUAUAACGACACCUCUAGGUCCAUAUAAAUAUUUAGGAUUCCCGGCAAGCGUGUACCAGCACGUUGCGCGCCAUAAGAACUCCUUUGCACAAGAUCUUCCGGCCUGCAGGCAGAUGCCUUCAAACAGAGGGUAUAAAAAAAUUCAUAGGAGCAUGAAUUUUGUCCUGACUCCGUAUCAUUUGCCAACAUAAGCCGAGAUGCAGGCAAGAAACGCUACCCCGCCGCCGCCUGCACCAGCCAAGGGAAGUAUACGCGAAGGCAGCCGCUAGAGCUCACCGGGUAAGACAGCCCGCUGUAGAACUCCACGCGGUGAUCUAGAGCCAGCGGAAUGUCGAGGUCACGACGCUUGCCCUUGCCCAGUACCGUCACGUUGAUUGUGCCCACGCCUGCAUGUGUGGGUCGAUGAUGGUCCUGACCCUGCUGCAACAGCUGCUCCCAAAGACUGCUGAAAUUACGGAUAAGGCCCGAGCCCCGCGCCGUUGUCCACUUGCGCAGGGUGCCCUGGAGGGUGAGGAGCGGGCGCAAGGCCAAGAAGAGAGAAGAGAGGAUCAGACGCCAAGGGGGAACCAGGACUAUGUCCGAAAUGCGCACACGUAAUUUUUCGGGGCAAGUCCUGUCCCACCUCACCUGUACCACAAAGCCCCGGAGACAAGUAUGGGAGGUGCAUUCCACGGGAGGUUUAUACGCCGCCACCAUAGUAGCCCAAUUCACUAGCUUGCUGCGAAGCCGGCUUCUGUUUGGGGCCGUAGCAUAGAGCGGAAUGGAGCGGGGGCGUUCGGGGCAGACAUGAUAAAGGGAGUCCUCACUUGGUAAGCCGCUUGAAAGAUCGAUUUGAAUGUGCUAAGCAUUCUGCAUCUAUGAGAGGGGGUGACCUUUACCAUCUGGACUUGUCCAGAAGCGAUUUAUUUCCAAAAAGACAUAAUUUCUUACAGCACAGGAAAAACGCCCACCAGGAGGAAUCGAACCUCUGGGCCUCCCGGCCCCUACGGAUUUGAAGUCCGCACCCAACGCCAGUCAAGGUCAGGUAGGCGACAUUUUUAAAACCUAACGAUUUAUAUAUUUCAGUGCAAAGUUUUAAUGUAUACAGGGAAUACAAAAUCUUCCACUCAACAUUUCCUGACAAGCGUAAAGCGUAAUUGAUCCUGCGGACGCUAACAAGAUACAAAGAAGUUACAGUACAGGAGGACAUACGGAUUGGAGGCCGGUUCCCAGCUACAACACCGUCACUACUAGAGGACACAAGUAAAACACCAGCUAGCUCCUCGCUCACAAGGUCACGCAGUCCACUAGUUGUCCAAUCAAGCCACCUCGCUGGCCCUAACACCGCGAACUGCCAGUAUUCAAAUAUACUGAUGGUUGCAGGCCACGUAGACUUUAGGUCUUGUGGAGAAAAAUAAGACUAGAAUACAUUUGUUGUAUGGGCCCUGUGCGGCGGCGUGAGACGUCCAUGGUUGUGUGUCACACGACAUGCCAGCAUCAUCCACCACACCAUCCAUACAGCCAUACAUAGCCAGCCCCCUCCACUCCCACAAUCCAUUCCAACCGCACAAAGCAAGAGACACGUAACCUAAACCUGCCGCCGGCUACCAGUCCGUACACCCGGUACAUGCAUGCCCCUCCAUGCACCCCGCCUGUUCCGCUGGUUAGCUUACCGUACGGCAGUCGCCACGUGUGGGGCCAGCGCCAUCAGCUGAAGCGGCGCGGGUGGCCGCACCAGGAAGCGGCUGCCCUUCCCGAUAAGAUCCGCACGAUGGACCAGAAGCACCAACAGGCGAGGUCGGAGGACGCGGGCGACGGCAUGACAGGUCUGUGCGGCAGUAUACCGGUGAAUAGCGGUAUUACUUGUUAGGCAGCGCCGAACGGUAGGUUGUUUGUAGACUGUCGGAAUGCGAUCAGGCAGGGUAUGGAGGGUGCCGGGUUCAAGAUAUAAAAAGCGGUGUCCCUUUGGCAACAUCCCACGUGCUUCACACCUCCCAUCGCAUGCUUUGGUCGGCAUCUACGUGCUCACGGUGUCUUUGUCGAGCUCCGGGGAGAUACAGACCAAUAAGUCGACCGGGCCCCAGUCAAGGUGCG
rnacentral:lncRNA from 1 species